UAGAUAUGCUGAUUACACGCCAUAUAGUGGAUGGCUUGGCUAGUCUUCGCAAGGUCACGUGGUAAGCUACGAAAAGUCUGGGGUAGGCGCACGCAGCCUUUGAUCCCAGAAUCUGACUGUGCACAGCUUGAAUAAAGUUGUGCAAUAACUUCCUGAAAUGAAGCGUCUUAGUAAGGAAUGGAAAAAAAAUCAACCGAGAUUCGGUAAGUAACAGCGAGUGAAAGCCGAAUAGAUCAAACCGAAUUCUGCUUGGUAACAGGCAGUAGAUGUGGUGGGGAAUAUCCUUUAUCUUAGCUGAAGUUGACUGGAAAGUCAUACCAUAGCGGGUUAUAGUCCCGUAAGCAAAGGAAAGAGGAAUGAUCCAAAAAGAGUAACAUGCCCUAGAUUGGGCGUGUGAAAAUAGGGGUAUCAACCUCUAAAUCUAAACAUGGAAGAUUAGACCGAUAGCGAACAAGUACCGCGAGGGAACGUUGAAAAGUACCGCGAGAGCGGUGUGAAAAGUGCCUGAAAUUAUAUGGUUACAGAAUGAUAUAGCAUGAAAGGUUAAGCAUUUUGGAAGUCUGCUUGGGCAACUUAGCAGGUGACAAGGUGUUUCAGUGUUAUAUCUUUCUUCUCGAAGCAAGAGCCAUGGAGUUACUGGGCGUGGCGAGGCGAAAGCCGAAGCGAAAGCAAUAGCGCGCAAGCAAUGAGGCGCGACGUCUUAAUCGGCGUUAAGUCACUCUCAGCAGACCCGAAGCCAUUGUGAUCUACACCUGACCAGGGCGAAGCCAUUCUGACGAAUGGUGGAGGCCCGCAACCGAUGCUAGUAUAUUCUGCUCGGGUGAGUUGGGUGUAGGGGUGAUAGUCCAAUCGAACGUGGCGAUAGCGGGUUCCCCUCGAAAUGUCCCUCAGGACAGCGUCUUUCGAGGAUAAUACAACGGUAGAGCACUGAUUACUGGGAACGGUUCCGAAAGGGAUCGCCUGGUUCUCAAACUCCGAAUGUUGUAUUUCUAUAGACAAAGGCAGUCGAGUUUCACGGAGUAAGUCUGUGAGCUCUUUCGGGAACGACCGUACGUAAGGUUAAGGACCCUAAAUUCUGACUAAGUGUUAAUCGUAAAGGAAUCUCCUCUCUGAGACAACCGGGAUGUAGGCUUAGAAGCAGCCAUCAUUUCGAACGGAGCGUGGUUAAACGCGUAAUAGCGGACCGGUCGAGAGUGCAGGUUCUGAAAAUUCACGGGGCUAAGUCAGGUUCCGAUACCUUACCCGCGCCAAAAGCGCAUGGAGUAGGGGGGCGAUCGGAUUGCGUAGAAGUAUGGCGGUAACGUCAUAUGGAGCAGUCUGAUACGAAUAUCAUGGUGUUAGUAGCAGCAUAUCCAGGUGAGAAUCCUGGACACCGAAUAGAGCAAGGUUUCCUCAGCAAUGUUCGUCAGCUGAGGGUUAGUCGAUCCUAAGGUCCGCGGUAACUCCAAGAGGCCGAAAGGGAAUCUGGCUAAUAUUCCAGAACUAUAGUGGUAGACGUGGUAACACAAGCAGUUUCUCUGACAUCUUUGGAUAUGUGGAGCAGCGCAAGCUGUCUGUAGGCAGUAGGUCCUCGGAGUCUCGUUGUGAGGAGAAGAGGAUGAAAGCCGAAAGAGCAAUUCUAUUGAGUCCGGGGAUCCAUGAAAAGGAGAGCUGAGCGAUCCAUUAUAAUCGUACCUAGAACUAAUACAGGUGCUCUAGCUGAAAAGGCUAAGGUGUGGCAGGAGAACUUAAAUAAGGGAAUUCGGCAAAUUAGCCCUGUACCUUCGGUAUAAGGGGUGCCUUCGCUUGCGUAAAGCGGAGGUCGCAGUGACAAGGGAAGAGCGACUGUUUAUCAAAAACACAGAUCAUCGCAGAGGCGAAAGCUUUGAAUUUAGGGCAAAAAAAUAAAUUCAAAAUUUGUCCGCAAAGCAGCCAAAGCCUGAGUACGAUGGUUGACGCCUGCUCACUACUGGUACCUGAACGUCGGUUUCAACCGGAAAAAGGGCCAGCAAAGAGCGGGGGUAACUCUGACCCUCUUAAGGUAGCGUAAUACCUCGCCGCUUAAUUGGCGGCUUGCAUGAAUGGCGUAACGACUCUUCCACUGUCCCUAUUUAGGACCUGGUGAACUCACUUCCCGGUGAACUUCUUUUUUCAGAUUUACAUAUACAAAGUAGGAUACUGAAGACUGAAGACCGAUAGAUGCCGGGGACUCCCAGAGGGAAUUUAGCGUAAUUAAAUUUUUUUCAAUAAUUAGUGCUAGCUCUAAACGAAGACUCCAUGGAGCUUUACUGUAGUCUGAUCUUGUAAUAGCGAGUCCAUUACAUAGAGUAAUUGGGAGAGGUCAUGCUGUGUCUUUCGGGGCACGGUUACUCAAAAGUGUAACACCAAUUAGUGGAUUUGUUAUUGCUUACUCGAAAGAGAACAGGGUCAGGUGGACAGUUUGGCUGGGAGCCUUUAGGAAUAAGAUAAACAAGAGUCCAAUAGCUCGUUCUUGGUUUUUCCAAAGUUUGCAGAAGUUGAUUGAACAACAGUGCUUUCAGGAAGGAAUCGAAUUUUAGAUGCGAAUUUUCUAAUUUCGCUUAUUCUAUUAAUUCGAAUUCCUUUUGAAGUUAUUAAACUAAAUAUAUCCAAAGUUUCAAGAAGUUCAAAAAGCUGUUGUCUCAAUCCAGGAUGAACACAUGCAAUUUCUAAAACUGCCUUAUGGCUUUUAUUAGAAUAGAUGCAUCCAUCUGCUGAGAAAUAUGUUUGAAGGAAGGCAAUUGCAAAAUCUGAACUAUUAAAUAUUUCAGAAGGAAUUUUUGCCUUUGGAUAUUUUCCAUCUUGGAAGCGAAGUGUUCUGAAAGAUGGCGAAUAUUUAAAGAGGCAAUCCGCAAUUUUCUUUGAGAAAAAUCUCACAGAUAUUGCGCCUUUACAUUUGUUUAUGUGGAAAUUUAAAUUUCCAAAACAUUGGGUAGCCAAGUAUUUGAAUUUUUCAAGCAUUUGUUUGUUUUUAUUGGUAAAUUGAAUACAAUACGUCCGUUUACUUUUAUCAUAGUAGACAGAACCAUCAGAAAAUAAAAAACCAAUAAGAGCGGCAAGAUUUUUGUCCAUAAUUUUUAUAUUAUGGAAAAUUAUAUUUAUAGGACUUUUGCUUAUUCCUCUAGGCCAGCAAGCGGUACGCUCUCGAUAAAGAAACAAGAGCGCCCAAUGUCGAUCUCAUUCCGGUCAGAAAUCGGAAGUAGAGGGUGAACAACAAAUGAUCGACUGACUGUAACCUUAAAAGCGUGGGUUGCAGGGAUGAAAGUCGGGUGUAGCGAACCUUGUAGCCUUUUUGAUGAGGGCACAAGCUGUCAGACAAGCUACCCUGGAGGUAAUUUACUAGCAAUCAUUUUUCUAUUGCUGGAAAUAUAGUUUCUCUUAUAAAUUUUCUCUACUAUUUAAUCAACAUGAAUCCAGAUCUUGCCUAUUUAUUAGGUGCUGCAGGUGAUGCAUCAGUUAUCUAUAAUAAAAAACGUGCUGAGUAUUAUAUAGAAUACUGGCAGAAAAAUUAUAAAUGGCUGGAGCAAAGUGUUGCACCGCGAAUCAAAAAACUUUUCAAUAAAAAUGUCAAAUCCAUUCCAAAAAAGAAUGGGUUAUUUCUAAUGCGUUUUUAUUCGAAAAGUGGUUACGAGUUGUUUAAAAAAUAUUUAAGCAAUUCAACCUUGAUUUUAGAAGAAACUAAUGAAGCACAAUUAAGUUAUGUGCGAGGUUUCUUUGAUGCGGAAGGAAGUGCACCUAAAAGAAAGCAUGGUACUACCUAUAGAAUUCAUAUCUAUCAAAAGAAUUUGGAACCUUUGAGAGUAAUCUCAAAAAUACUUUCAAAUAACGGAAUUAUUGUUGGUAAUUUAACAAAUAGUAGGGAUAUUGGCUUAUUGCCUAUAAGAGGAAAAUCAAAUAUUGCAUAUUUUAUUCAAAAUGUAAAACCAGAGCAUCCUGAUAAAACAGUUGCUCUUGAAAACUUAUGCAAGUAAUUAUUUUUUCCAGUUUGCUAGUAAAACCUUAUACAGGCUCGUCGCGGGUGAGAGUACACUUGAAGCUUUUAGGAAAAGCUUCACCAAAACGGUGAUGCUAAAAGUUUUGAUACAAUCUAGCGCAAGCUAUCCUGAAAUGCGCAAGCAUUUUGGGAACUGGUGACCGAAAGGUCACUGGAGAGACUCUUACUUAUGAGACUUCGGUCUCAAUUGAAUAGAAACAAAUUCUUUAAAGUAGGGGAUUUAGUUGAUCUCAUCUGCUCUCAUUAUUAUAUUUGAGAUCAACAGUAUAAAUCGACCCCGCGGUUUGGUACAUCGCUGUCGGCUUGGGAUAUCCUGGUCGUGUAGGAAACACGAACCAUGUAUAAUUCCCGAUGCUGCGUUUUCCAAAUAGUAGUGUUGGGAAUAAACUCUGGUUCGCGUCUAUAAGCGGCCAAGGGUUGGGUUGUUCAUCCAUUAAAAUCCCACAUGAGCUGGGUUCAGUACGUCGCGAGACAGUACGGUAGUAUCUCCUGGGAGUGUAGAUCCUUGAGAGUAAGAAUGCCUGAGUACGAGAGAUAGCGUUAGCUAGCGAUAGCUAUCGUAACUCGAAGAACGGGCAUUCGGCGCCUCUAGUAUACCGGUUGUAAAAUUGCAUAGCCGGGCAGCCACGCGCCACGUCGAUAAGAUCUGAAAGCAUCUAAGAUCGAAGCGACUCUUAAAACUAGGGAUCAAAGUCCGCCUAUAGUAGAUAGGUUUGAUAGGAUCGAGGUGUAAGCGUUUAGCGUAAGCGAGACGUUCAGCCUGCGAUUACUAAAGGAAUAUUUGUAUAUCUA
rnacentral:rRNA from 1 species